GUUUUUUGCCAUGCUUGGAGAAAGAAAGGACCACUUUCUGGAACAAGCAAUAAUGAUGGUGCGCACCAUGGUCUACUGCAUGUGUCACAGCCUGCCCCGCUCCUGAAGCCCAG